GCAGCCGUGGUGAGUGUGACAACACCGGGAAGGCCAUGCCAGGGCCCUGGACCCAAGUCUCGCCCUAGUGGAGCAGCCACGGGUCUAGACAGCACCAGUUACCAGAGAGAGGCAAGUAUUCAAGGGAUGCUUCACAAAUUAUCUUCCUCAGACCCCAACCCCCCCAACCCCCACCCCGUGGCCCUGAUCCACAGAUUCUUGGGGGAGAAACUACGAGUUGACGGCAGGGUGGUGAAGGGCUUUCUUCCAGAAAGAAGAGGAGAGCAGCGGUCUUUUCUUGGCCGUGGCGACUCAUGUCAGGUAAAAAUCCCUGUCAGUGUCCCCAGUCCAAUCUCGGCCCUGGGUUCGCGAUUGGAGGAGGAGCCGACUGGAACCGAGGUUCGCGAGGCUGAGCCUGGGGCUGUUUCAGAAUGCCAGAGGAGGUGUAGUGGGGCUUGGCAUCUGCCAAAGGUGCUGAGCCCACCACCACCAAAUUCACCAAGAGGAGGGAAGGAGGGAAAGGCGCCUGGGAAGCGACUCCGCAGCCCGUCACCUGAGUGCUCCUGGAGGGGUGCUCUACCAGCUCGAGUCGUGGGGUCGUCUAGUUCUCGCACGCGCCCGGGGGCGACGCCGAAACCCUACUUGCCGUUUGUCUGGCUCGGAACGUCGCCCCGUCGGAGGUGUCAGAGCUGCAGCCUCUGGAAUGCGCGCAGUCCGCCCCACCCCCACCCCCACCCGAUUUCCCAAGCCCCCUGCCGCCGCCUGGUCUCCCCCUCCACAAGUCCUUCAGAUUCCGAAUGCCGCCGACCUGUUGCAUGCCAAAAAAGUGGCGGAGUUGGAUGUUCCAGGCCUCUCCUCCCUGCCUUGGCCAUCACCGCCUGCCGCAAGAUCUGAGCGCCAGGAGUUCCGGGGCUCUGCCUGCAGACGCCAAGAGAGGGCCCAGUGCCGAAAAAGAAAAUGUGAGAAGUGCCGGGAGGCACUGGAUAACCAUCCAGUGCAAAAGGCUCUUCGUAUCCGCUGUGAUUGCGGCAAAGAAUCCCACUAACCCGGGGAGGGAAAAGGAGAGGUGCGGGGAUUGCGUCCGAGAGGGAGUUGGGUCCGCCAAAAAAGCGCAUCUGGUGCCAACGCGUCCCAGUCUCGCCUUUCACCCUGGCGGAGGGGUGCCUGCACUCCAGGUCCCUACCUUGGGGUUAGAAUCUGGCUGCGGAAGGCCUCCAGAUCCCCUCCACUGCUAGUCUGAGACCCCAGCUUCAGCACCAGAGGCUGGACAGCGCCCUGGCCUGAUUGCGCCUGGGUUCCCGCGCACAGCUCCGCUGCCCUAAGUCGCUCGGAUCUCACGCGGAGGCGACCAGGAGGUGAGACAGGGUUCACCGAGAAAGCAAGGGAGGGCCUCCUCUUCUCCAUUUCUCCAGGAGUUUGCGGAUCAGAUGCUAGGAAUAAGUUCUAUCUCCCUUCCACUAAGAGUAGCUGGAAAGACUUGGUGCCAAAUGCCGGCAAGGUAUGGAAGAGAAAAGAGGCGCGCCUGUAAGUGGUGAGUUUAGGGGCAAGCAGGAGACUGUGUUCUACCGGGAAUCCCAGGCGUCCAAGUCGUGUUGUCUCUGUCGCGUCCCCUCCCCCAUUUCCCUCUUUCUCUCCUUCUUCACAAUCUCCAUACGCCUUAACGCCGGUGAAUGAAGGGAGAAGAUAUUUAAGCCGAGUAAAAAGCACCUUUUAUCAGGGUUGCAAUAUUUGGGUGUAGAUGAAAUCUCUCCAAAUUGAACAUUGAGGUCCGCAUUUUUAGCCAAAUGAGCCGCAUUUUUGUAUGAGGAGCUGAAUGACAGUUUUACCAGAAAGGAAAAAGCCGAGGAGGGUAAGACAUUAUCACAAAAGGGCUAACAGAGGUAGGGGAGGAGGAGGGGGAGAGAGGACCCCCUUCUCCCGCACUAGAGUGUGGUUACCAGGCAACUAGCCCAGCCUUCCGUUGCCUUGGUUACAGUGAGCCAGAGGGGCUUUUGCCAUUGAUUAUCCAAGAGCACCUUUAUUCUUAAAAAUAUCUGCUGGGGGUCCUCUGCCUUUCCUGGUCUGGAUGUGAGUCAGAGUCAAGGCGGCUUCCGCAAAAUCCCAGGGGUUAAAAGGAAAUCUUGAGAGGUGAAUUUUUCCUUUUAAGUCAAGGUGUGUGGCAAAGCAUCUACCUUUCCACUCCUACAGUCCUUCCCACCCUCUUCCCCACCCCCUUCAGAGAGGUAAUCAUAUCCUACCCUGUCCUCUUCCUGGGAUUUACAAUUAGGGCUUUUUUUUUUUUUUUUUUUUUUUUUUUUUUUUUUUUUAAUGUGGUCCUUUAGCUGGAAGGGCUGAUUUCCCCCAAUCCCCUGCACGUUUUUCUGCAUUUAAAAUGAGAAAGACACAUUUGCUCUUCAUGGAUGAACUGGAGGGAGAAAGGAGACUGUCUAGCAGUGUUCUGGUAGGGAGAUAGGUUCUCUCCUUGGUUUGGCAGUGGAUCCUCCCUUCCUGAACACUCCUCUCAUACUGGAGGGGUUGAAUUCUAAAUCACCUCCUCCCACAGACCACACAGAAAACAGACAGGCAGAAUUGGGAUCCCUUAGCAAAAGCCACUAGCAUCACCAGCAUCUGAUUCCUCAAAAUUCUCUUCUCUUUUCUUCCUCUUCCACUUUGCCUUCAUAAUUAGCAAAUACGGCACUUCAAGCUUUGAAUCCUCUGUUCUUUUCCAUUUCUCUUGAUUGACAAAUAUUGAUUGCACUUUUUACCUGUCAGACUUCUCAGCCUGUUUUCAUUUGUAGUAUCUGGGUAGAAAAUAAUUUUACCCAUAAAUUUCCAAACUCAGCUGUACCAGUCUCAAAAUGAUUUAAAAGGAAAUCACUAGUAAGUUAAUAGAACAACUCGUAUUCUGUGCACUAUUUCAUCUAGAAUACUUCUUCAGAGCCAUGACCUUUCUCUUUAAAACAGAACCUUGUUUUAAACUGAGCUGUCUCUUGACAACACAGGCAUGGAGGAAAUCUCUGUUCCAGGCAGUAACCAUCAUCUUUAUCUUUGCUGCCCUGCAUCUCAAACACACAUAUCUUUCCUUUCCUCUUUACCUUCUCCUUCACUCAUUGCUAAUGUAAAAUUUUUAAAAUAAUCAUUAUAAUUUCAGAUUAAGUUAAAGGCCAAAAUUACCCUCCGUGGGCUGGCUAGAUAUAGUUUUGGGACAUUUACAUUGAAAUGCUUUGCCCUCACAUGUUACUAUAGAAACUUCUUUUUAGUCCAUACUAGACAGCUGGUCUGCUUUUCAUACUUUUCUUCCUAAAGAAUCGCCUUCCUUUAUGAAUUCUGUGGGGUACCUAUCAUUGAUCACAUCAAUAAUGUUCCAUAGCAACAGUAGCUUUUGUAUUUAAUUAUUUUCUUUAUGGACAAAGGGUCUUUCCUUUCAGGAAGAGAACUGAGAUCUUAUUGGCCAGAAAGGAAGAAGCAUUCUUUCACUGGUUGUGACAAAUGGAAAAGCUGGAUGGAUGGAAACAAUGACCAUCUAAUUUGGUGUAAGAGAAGACCCAUAACUUCCCAGGAAGGCUGUGGCAGACAGAAACCAUCUGACAACAGCCUGAGAAACUGUAAGGUCCAGUACCCUACCCCUACUUCGUUCUGAGUUGUGGCUCGAACAGUACUUCAUGAUUACUGAAGAAAGGAGAGAAAGGAGCCACCCACCCACCUCCUCCUGUUAAAAAUAAGAUCCCCUUAUCAUUCAGAAACUGUUUUUUUGGCCGGGCUCCCACAGUAUACAGUACCUCCCUACCCAGGGCUCCAGAGGAAAGAGCCAGGAGUGUGCAGGCACAAAGGGGCUUGUGCCCAGCACCAGGGUGCCUACCAGGCUUGGUGCCCUGGCAGCCACUGGGAGAAUACACCUGACCCUGGCCGUCCUGAACCAGCCUUGUCUACCCCAGGGCAGAGACAGUGGGACUUGUAGGUAUAGAACUUCUUGGCCUCAGAAGCUGCUUCUGUGCCACUGAGCCCAGUGGUGUCACCAGGGGAAAACUGGGGUGAGGAGGCCCAGCCCUUCUACCAAGUCAUCAAAAGCAGUGAUAGAUCGAAAAAGCCAUUUCCCAGCCUUUUUCCAUGCCUCCAUGUGGGGGGGCACCUUGCCCAUGGACCAAGUCCCAGUGAUAAGACCCUCAGUGGGAACAGAUUUUUCAAGCAACAUGCUCAAAUUCCCUCCCAAGUCCUUUCUAAGUAUGCUUCUGAUAGGGAUGGAGUAGGAUAGUUACACAGGUAGUUAUUUAAGUCCAAGUAGGGGACCAUGGAUAGAGAGGGAAACCUAGGGGAUUUUGGGAGAUCACUGUAAGUUAAUGAUCACUGAAGACAUCCAUCAGAAUGAAGCAUGUUUGCUUAACUAUAAAACCAUAAAUAAAAGCAUGAGAUAUGCCUCAUGUCAUUAAGUGAAAGAUAAAACAAGGCCUGCAUUCAAGUUCAGCAAGACAAUGAUCCUUAAGACCAAGCACAGGAAUUUAAGGAAAAGAUGACAUUCCCAAGUAGGAGAGCCUCUUUAUGCAGAACCCUGAGAUGAUUUAACAUAUUUAACAUACAUUACUACCCUUCUGCUGAUUAGAAUAAGUACCAUCACAGUCCUAGUUUGACCUCAUAGGGUCGAAUACUCUUAUGGGAUAUGAAAGAGGAGCUAAUGAUGUAAGCCUGACAUCUACUCCUCUACUUGAAGGAUAAGGAAGAAGGUGGUCUUUUCCCCUCCCCACUUUCCUUGGAUUAUAAAACCGUAGCCCACAGAAUCCUUGAGACAGAGCUUCUUUGCCUGCCUGGUUGUAUCCCUCACAAGCGUCCUAUCUUAAUAAAUCUAUUUCUUGCCU
ensembl:lncRNA